UCGGAAUCACUGGGCGUAAAGGGCGCGUAGGCGGAUUAUCAAGUCUCUUGUGAAAUCUAAUGGCUUAACCAUUAAACUGCUUGGGAAACUGAUAGUCUAGAGUGAGGGAGAGGCAGAUGGAAUUGGUGGUGUAGGGGUAAAAUCCGUAGAUAUCACCAAGAAUACCCAUUGCGAAGGCGAUCUGCUGGAACUCAACUGACGCUAAGGCGCGAAAGCGUGGGGAGCAAACAGGAUUAGAUACCCUGGUAGUCCACGCCCUAAACGAUGUACACUAGUUGUUGGGGUGCUAGUCAUCUCAGUAAUGCAGCUAACGCAUUAAGUGUACCGCCUGGGGAGUACGGUCGCAAGAUUAAAACUCAAAGGAAUAGACGGGGACCCGCACAAGCGGUGGAGCAUGUGGUUUAAUUCGAAGAUACGCGAAGAACCUUACCUGGGCUUGAUAUCCUAAGAACCUUUUAGAGAUAAGAGGGUGCUAGCUUGCUAGAACUUAGAGACAGGUGCUGCACGGCUGUCGUCAGCUCGUGUCGUGAGAUGUUGGGUUAAGUCCCGCAACGAGCGCAACCCACGUAUUUAGUUGCUAACGGUUCGGCCGAGCACUCUAAAUAGACUGCCUUCGUAAGGAGGAGGAAGGUGUGGACGACGUCAAGUCAUCAUGGCCCUUAUGCCCAGGGCGACACACGUGCUACAAUGGCAUAUACAAUGAGACGCAAUACCGCGAGGUGGAGCAAAUCUAUAAAAUAUGUCCCAGUUCGGAUUGUUCUCUGCAACUCGAGAGCAUGAAGCCGGAAUCGCUAGUAAUCGUAGAUCAGCCAUGCUACGGUGAAUACGUUCCCGGGUCUUGUACUCACCGCCCGUCACACCAUGGGAGUUGAUUUCACUCGAAGCCGGAAUACUAAACUAGUUACCGUCCACAGUGGAAUCAGCGACUGGGGUGAAGUCGUAACAAGGUAACCGUAGGAGAACCUGCGGUUGGAUCACCUCCUUUCUA
rnacentral:rRNA from 4 species